CAUGUAGGCGGAUUAAUAAGUUUGAAGUGAAAUCCUAUAGCUUAACUAUAGAACUGCUUUGAAAACUGUUAAUCUAGAAUGUGGGAGAGGUAGAUGGAAUUUCUGGUGUAGGGGUAAAAUCCGUAGAGAUCAGAAGGAAUACCUAUUGCGAAGGCGAUCUACUGGAACAUUAUUGACGCUGAGAUGCGAAAGCGUGGGGAGCAAACA
rnacentral:rRNA from 1 species